AGGACGAACGCUGGCGGCGUGCCUAAUACAUGCAAGUCGAACGGUCUUUUCUAUGGAGGCUUGCUUCCACUGAGGAGAUAGUGGCGAACGGGUGAGUAACACGUGGGUAACCUGCCCAUAAGAGGGGGAUAACAUCCGGAAACGGGUGCUAAUACCGCAUAGUUUUCUUGAUCGCAUGAUCGGGAAAGGAAAGACGGCCUUUGUGCUGUCGCUUAUGGAUGGACCCGCGGCGUAUUAGUUAGUUGGUGAGGUAACGGCUCACCAAGACGAUGAUACGUAGCCGACCUGAGAGGGUGAUCGGCCACAUUGGGACUGAGACACGGCCCAAACUCCUACGGGAGGCAGCAGUAGGGAAUCUUCCGCAAUGGACGAAAGUCUGACGGAGCAACGCCGCGUGAGUGAAGAAAGGUUUUCGGAUCGUAAAACUCUGUUGUCAGAGAAGAACAAGUUGGAGAGUAACUGCUCCAGCCUUGACGGUAUCUGACCAGAAAGCCACGGCUAACUACGUGCCAGCCGCAGC
rnacentral:rRNA from 1 species